AGUACCAACUAUAUUUUGAAGACAUUCUUACAGUUGUUUCAAGUGAAAUUUUGAAUGCUACAAAUUUGGAAAGAGAUUAUUUUCCUGUGAAUAAACUACUAAAAAAGGGGGGGGGAGUGAGUAAAUCUCGUUCAGAGGGUC